rnacentral:lncRNA from 1 species
GUUCCUCCCAGGAAAGUUCUGUAAAUAACCAUGGGGGACCUGAGCUUCUCAUCAGCUUUGGCCUUCCAGGCCUUCCAACUCCAGGAUUUGGGGAGGUGGUUUUCUGAUGUCCUGGGUUGACUUAGGCCCUUGGGGACAGUAAUCAGCCUAAAGCUCGCCCUACUGCUGGAAAUGCUUGGCUGCCUCCUUCAUAGGCUUCACUGGGGCAUGUCCAAUUCAAUAAAGGGUCAGAGUUGCUGGGAGUCGGCAGAGCAGUUACUGUUGGCCUUGUUGAGAGGCCCUAGUGGAGAACCUGAAGCCAUUCUCAGCAGUCUCUAGUCCCUGCUAAUUCUCACUGUGCAGAGAAGCCAGGGUCAAAGCCCGAGUUAAGAACAUACUUGAGCCGGGCAUGGUGGCGCACACCUUUAAUCCCAGCAAUUGGGAGGCAGAGGCAGGUGGAUUUCUGAGUUUGAGGCCAGCCUAGUCUACAAAGUGAGUUCCAGGACAGCCAGAGCUAUACAGAGAAAUCCUGUCUCAGAAAAAAAAAAAAAACAUACUUGAGUAUUAAUGUGGUCUCUCCUCCCUACACACCUGACCCCUGGGAUAUUGUAAGAGAGAUGUGGGAAGCCAGCUCAGCAGGCAGGUGACCCAUCUGCUGGGAGUGAACAGUUUGCUUUUCACAGUGACUUCUCUUAGGCAGAUGCGAAGGCUCUUAAGCCAGGAAGCACAGCCUUGUCCCCAAAGGACUACAAAUUGGCAGAGACCUUGCCCCUCCAGGGACACAGGUUUCCCAGGGCUACCUUGACCUUUGUCAGUCAGCUGGACCCCAGCCCCCGCAGCAUCUGACAUCGCCAAAGCCGCACAUCCGCAGAGGCAGGGGCUGCCUGAGUUCACACUGCCACGCUCACUGUCCGUCUGUCCCUUGUGUCUUUUUAAAACAACUCCCAUCUUUUUUUUUUUCUUUUUUCCUCUGUCUUCGGAGGCUUUAACCAUUUAAGGAUGUUGUGAGUUUACAUUAGGGAAUUAUCAGCCCAGCCCAGCCCAGCCCAGCCCAGCCCAGCCCAGUGAGGGAGCUUUAAAGAGGAAGUGGGAAUGUGUUUUUAAAAAAAUCAUUUGUGUGUGUGUGUGUGUGUGUGUGUGUGUGUGUGUGGUGUUGCACAGGAGGCCAAUUUUCCUUUGCCUUUAACAAAUCACCUUGUGCACUGAGGUCCUCCAUGUGUUCAUUGGAACCCGUGCUGGCAUCCUUGGGCACAGACCCACUUGGGCUUGCAUAUAAGCAUAUAAAGAUAUGCACAGAGCAUACAUCUAUGUGUGCUAACAUAGGGGCUCUUGGCAAUGCCCUCUGACGGCCCCUUGGCUGUCUCUCAUCCUCAGGAGGCACGGACAGCCUGGGUCACUUGCACUUGGGGUAUUUGGUGAGACCUAUUACCCAAGCAGCUGAGCACAUUACAAGCUACAACUCGGAGAUGAGCCUAGGGUGAGAGCCUCUGUUUAGGCACUGCCUGCCAGGGGUGUGGGGGGGAAUUAUUAGCUACACAGCCACAGCCACAGCUGGACACCCAGUAGGUGUCCAGCUGCGGAACUCUAGGUUGUUCAAUGAGAUCUUUUGGCCUAUGUUUACAUUUCUGCUGGGCACUGGAGCAUCCCAAGAACUCCACCUAGACACCCCACCAUAUUCUAAGGGUAUGGCAGGCGGGCACCGACCCUGGGUAAGGGGAAGCUUUCAUUUUCCUGAGCCUGUGAGGCCAGGGCUGUUGUCUUGUGACUAUGGGGAACAAGGUCACAGAAGGACACGCCUAGCCCUCUUGCUGUUGCCUCUCUGUGCCCUGAGGAAAUCUGCCCUGUAUUCAGGAGCCCACACUUAGCACGCUGGGACGGCUCUCUCCUCUCCUGGCAGCGCCUGCCUCCUGCAUUCUUGCAGGCUCUGCUCCCAGAUUGCCAAGACUAACCAAAUAGCUGCUCUGGGUUCCAGGAGCAUCUUCCUCCGGAGAGCAACAGGGAGUUUACAACCCCCGCGCUGUUGCCUCUCCUUUCCCCUCUCCACCACAAACCUGACACUGCCCGUGAAUCAGAGGGAACAAGGACACAGCUAGGCUGCCUUGCCAGCCCUUGCUUUUAGAGGCCUUCUGUCAUUGCUGUCCAUGACCGCCCUGGACAGCAUUUCUAAAGGUGCCAGAACCUCACAUUAGACUGCCCCAGGCAGGGGUUCCCCUCGCCUUCUCGAGAGGCACACAGUGAAGGUGCCACCAUAUUCGUGCAGCCAGCCAGCUGGACCAUCACUGGGGGAAAGAGGGGACCCACAGACAGCCACCACCAGCUCCUGAGUGCCUCUGUGGUCCCAUACAGGGACACCCACCCUAACCAACACCUCGAGCACAGGUGCCCCACCCCCUUGGGACAACCCCCACCUUUCUGUUUCCAUAAAAAGACAAAUCCAAAGCAUUUAAGUGUGUUCCUUCCUCCACCCAUAUAGACUCCCAAAACAAAACUCGGUACAAAUCUUUAUUUUUUUGAUUUAAAAGCUAUAAUGAAAAAUUAUAGGGAGAGUAUUCAUUAUGGCAGGUGUCUAUCUGUAAGAAAAAUAAAUAUAUCUAUAUGUCAUAUAGCUUGUUAGCAAGUUUAUUUUUUAAAUGAAAGGUAAGAAAGAAAUUGAUUUGAAAUAUAUACCGCCAGAAGUCCUAUGUCCUGUCAAACUGUCAGUAUUUUAUAAAUAAACUUUUUUUUUGGAGUUC